CUACAGCCCUAUUUUACUGUUUUCAGAGCCCUUUUUUUGGGAUUGAAGGAUUUCUGGUGUCCCAGAGGCCUUUCCAGCUUCAUCGGGAUUGGUGAGCGAACACGGUCUCGGUCGGGAGGAGGAAAUCGCCGGACUUCCGCCCUUUUCUGGGGAUACUGGGCGGGGUAUGUCAGAGUCGAACUGACUAAAACCUCCUGUCGCUCAACAACCAACGUCCAAACCUCGAAUGAGACAGAACUCAUGACAAGGCAAAGGGGGGGAAGUGAAGCGUUUAGUGCGGAGCACAUCUCUCCCAUCACCCUCCCCCUCGGGACGCCGGACUGGCGGUCGUCGGCGCCACGACCACCAGCCCUCUCGGUCGGCAGACUGUCCGAAGCCCGCCUAGAUGGCGCCGGUUAGAGUGGUACCGAAGACACGCCGACAGCUCCCGAUCAAACCCGAGCGCGUGUGACGUCAUAAUGUUAGUUUUCCCUCAAUGCAAUUCAUAUAGAAAUAAUAAGUGUACAGUGUUUUGAUCUAUUUAAUUUUGUUGUCAUUGUUAAAUAUACAAAUAUUUAUAUUGAAAAUGUCGAACCUCAAACGUUAUCGUUCUUUUUUUGUACCAUUAUGCAUGAAUACUACAAAAACAACUCCUGAAAAACUGUUUUUAAAUGUUUCCUAAGAUGACAAACGUCGAAAUAAAUGGUUUCUAGCAGAGCACCGUGAUAAUCCCAAAACAAAAUCGAUUUUUUUUUGUUGUGAAGAUCGUUGCGGCUUAAUUUUUUCUUAGCACCAUUGUUAUUAUUUAUUAUUAAUCUAAGUAUACAAAUAAAAUAAUUAUUAUAUAUUCAAAUAGAGUUCAGUGAAUAUUUUUUUUAACUAGACUCCAAAUCAUUACUUAUAAAACUAUAGCAUUUUUUUUAUUAAUAAUUUAAAGUACUUAAAUAAUAAAUUCAUGUAUCUUUAUCUAAUGAGUGGGAUUUAAAUUUGAUAUAUGUAUUUAUAAUUUUAUAACGUUCGAAGUUAUGUAUUUGACUAGAUAUUUUUUUUUUAAUUUUAUGUCAUAGUGGUUUUGCUGUUGUUAUAAAAUAAAAUUUAAAUAAUUUUCAUGA